GACUGCAGGGUGGCUUUCACUUGUGAUUCUACCCAAAGGAAAACUGAAACUGGGAAAAAGGAUGGUUUGCACCUGUAAAAUCUAACAUGUUAUCUGUACUGUGGAAUUCUGAAGGGAUUCCCUGCAUGGAAAUGCCCAG